AGGGCUGGCCGCAGCUGUUAAGAUCUUGCUGUUAGGUCCCCUCCCCACAGUGCAGCAGAGACAACAGAAACCCUUGCAGCCUGCAGCCCUUGCAGAGUGGCCCUGCGGUGGGAAUUGAACGCAGAGAAAAUCCAAGACCAGCAAUGAAGCCCAUCCUGAUAAAACCCAGCCACAGCUCCUGCCACAAGUUGUGGCGGGUCAGGUGAUUAUUGGGCUCUGUCACCCACUCCCUCCUCCUCAUAAGUGUCGCCAGCACUACCCAACACCGUCAUUCAAAAAGAACCUGAAUGUGAUUUGGAUGAACAGCAACAAGUUUCUCAAAUCUUAUAAGAUCACAUGAUAAAUAUUCCUACAGCUCUGCCUGACAAGAACUUCAUAUCCAAUGAGACCUCUCUGAGAUUUUGUUGACAGCUACUUCAACUCAGAAGGCAAGGGGAAAGUGAUGAAAGCAAGAUAAUCUGGAAACUUGAUAAAGACAUUGUAGAACUGUAGUGUAUCAUUUGCCAUCUCUAACAUUUCCCACAGUGGAGAUGAAAGGAGCUUAUGUGAAUGUUUGUCAGACAGAAGAAGCUGAUAUGGUGUACACCAUAACUCUGCCUUGCAAAGCAUAGCCAUGCAGAAGGUAUGUGACAAAACAGAUGUAAAUUUUUGAAAAGAAGUAAGCAGAUGAGAGCAAAAUGUAUCUAGGGUCUGUUCCUUCUAGCUAGACCUUGGAAACCAGAAUUAGGGAACAAAUGUGCCUUUACAUCAACUCGCCAACCUGUUGUGCCACAACUGAAGCGCAGCAUAGAGCAUCCUAUUUACCAUAUAGCUCCUUGACCCCAUCUGAAAUCGUGUCAGGAUGGUUGCUAGUGCAUCCAUGUGUGCAGGCUUUGCUGGCUAUUUCUGCAUGCUUUAGAACAAAGCAUGAGCAAGGCACUCAACCCUCAGGCUUACUUAAAAUUAAUGACUAUGUAUUUUCUGGGGUUUUUUGUGGCAAAAACCAUGCUAUUUAGUUCACCAAACAAAUAUACAUCAAAUUUUUACACUGUCAAAAUAAAGCACAGAGUAUAUGCAUGCUGGUCCUUUAUUGUGGAACCACUGGAAGGUUUAGAAUUUUCCCUAUACCAUUGUCAGGAAAAUUUGCAUAAAAAACUUGGUUUAUACAGGAUAACAGGACAAGACAAAGAGACAAAUCUUAGUGAAAAGAUUUUUGUCUGAUACAUCCAAAACUAAGACUAAUUACCAAUGCCCUGUAUAUCAGAUGUGAACUUACGGUCUUACAGGUUGGUCUUCAGUUCCUUCAAACUCCCUGGAGGCCCCAGUACAAUCACCAUUUUUUAUAUAAUUUUACACAUUUUAGUAAAUAACAAUAGCACCCUCGUCAUUUCUCAUCUUUGUUAUUCCAACUGUGAACUCUUUGUACCCAAGCCUUUCAUUCCAUGCUAGUACAGCAGGACUCCCAUGUUCACUAAUGUCUCUUUGAACUAAAUUCUAGCUCUUACCAGAUUUAGCAUGAACCUCAGCUCACAAACAAACUCCUGUCAUUUUUUCUGUGCUUCCCAAACAUAUUGAACACCACU